rnacentral:tRNA from 1 species
GCCGAUGUAGCUCAGUGGCAGAGCAGCGGUUUUGUAAACCGCCGGUCAUCAGUUCGACUCUGAUCAUCGGCU